GAUUAUGGCUCAGGAUGAACGCUGGCGGCGUGCUUAACACAUGCAAGUCGAACGAGGAACACUGAUGAAGUUUCGGAUGGAAUCGGUAUUCCGAGUGGCGGACGGGUGAGUAACGCGUGGGUAACCUGCCCUGUACAGGGGGAUAACAGUUGGAAACGACUGUUAAUACCGCAUAAGACCACAGUGCCGCAUGGCACAGGGGUAAAAACUCCGGUGGUACAGGAUGGACCCGCGUCCAAUUAGCUAGUUGGUGAGGUAACGGCCCACCAAGGCGACGAUUGGUAGCCGAUCUGAGAGGAUGACCGGCCACAUUGGGACUGAGACACGGCCCAAACUCCUACGGGAGGCAGCAGUGGGGAAUAUUGCACAAUGGGGGAAACCCUGAUGCAGCGAACCGCCGCGUGAGUGAUGAAGUAUUUCGGUAUGUAAAGCUCUAUCAGCAGGGAAGAAAAUGACGGUACCUGAGUAAGAAGCCCCGGCUAACUACGUGCCAGCAGCAGC
rnacentral:rRNA from 1 species